CGCUGCCGUCUCGGCCACGCCCCCUAAGGUUCAAGUGGUGUCGUCGAAUAACCGUCAUGAAUUAAGUCCUCGUUACUAACUUGUGGCUUAUCCAAUAUUGACUGUUCAUUUGGGGGCAGUUGGGGGCCAAGUGCAGUGAAAACGGAGUCAUAAUAAUACAUAUUUCCCAUGAUGUGGGUGUUGAGGGGCUAAAGGUUGAACUAGCUGUCUAAUGAUUAUUUAAUAGCAGGUGUGUCUGGAUGGUUGGAGGUGGCCCAGGGGCGACGGUUUGUUAAGCGCCGCGUCGUGAGUCAGCCGCCUGUCGUCGACGGAGAUGCUGAACAAAGCUAAGCUGCUCAUACCUCAACCAUGAGCUCACCUGGCCAGCUUGCAGCACUUGAUUCCGACCCAUCAAACCCUGGUGCAGAGGACUGACGGCCCGACGUUCCUGUACAACCCCCUUAUUGGGUGUAGGGUGUGCUGCUUGGGGCGAUGAGUCUGGGUGCUAGCGGACCGCCUCUAGCUGGCUCCGCCGCUGCCAAAGUAAACAGGCUGGAUGUGGGGCGGCCCUGUACAGCGACAGCCGGCAGUGAAGACCCUGACAACCUUUGA
rnacentral:lncRNA from 1 species